GAGGAAAGACAGACUUGGACAGAUAAUGACCUUUUUUGUUUGUUGUUUUUUUGUGUGUUAUCCCUCGUUUUUUUUGUGAUUUGU
rnacentral:ribozyme from 1 species